AUGCGGCCUUGCCGUCUACUCCACCAGGCGGCCUUGUCGUCUACUCCACCAUGUCGUCUACUCCACCAGGCGGCCUUGCCGUCUACUCCACCUUGUCGUCUACUCCACCAUGUCGUCUACUCCACCAGGCGGCCUUGCCGUCUACUCCACCUUGUCGUCUACUCCACCAUGUCGUCUACUCCACCAGGCGGCCUUGCCGUCUACUCCACCAGGCGGCCUUGUCGUCUACUCCACCUUGUCGUCUACGCCACCUUGUCGUCUACUCUACCAGGCGGCCUUGCCGUCUACUCUACCAGGCGGCCUUGUCGUCUACUCCACCAGGCGGCCUUGUCGUCUACUCCACCAGGCGGCCUUGUCGUCUACUCCACCAGGCGGCCUUGCCGUCUACUCUACCAGGCGGCCUUGUCGUCUACUCCACCAGGCGGCCUUGUCGUCUACUCCACCAGGCGGCCUUGUCGUCUACUCCACCAGGCGGCCUUGUCGUCUACUCCACCAGGCGGCCUUGCCGUCUACUCCACCUUGUCGUCUACUCCACCAUGUCGUCUACUCCACCAGGCGGCCUUGCCGUCUACUCCACCAGGCGGCCUUGUCGUCUACUCCACCUUGUCGUCUACUCCACCAUGUCGUCUACUCCACCAGGCGGCCUUGCCGUCUACUCCACCAGGCGGCCUUGCCAUCUACUCCACCUUGUCGUCUACUCCACCAUGUCGUCUACUCCACCAGGCGGCCUUGUCGUCUACUCCACCUUGUCGUCUACUCCACCAUGUCGUCUACUCCACCAUGUCGUCUACUCCACCAGGCGGCCUUGCCGUCUACUCCACCUUGUCGUCUACUCCACCAUGUCGUCUACUCCACCAGGCGGCCUUGCCGUCUACUCCACCAGGCGGCCUUGCCAUCUACUCCACCUUGUCGUCUACUCCACCAUGUCGUCUACUCCACCAUGUCGUCUACUCCACCAGGCGGCCUUGUCGUCUACUCCACCUUGUCGUCUACUCCACCAUGUCGUCUACUCCACCAGGCGGCCUUGCCGUCUACUCUACCAGGCGGCUUUGCCGUCAUUUUUCAGCGGACCAGGAGUGCCAACUUAGCCCAGAUGAGAACUGA
rnacentral:lncRNA from 1 species